UACCCGACUUGGUUAUCAGCGUCUGUAAGAUCCACUAUCGGUCAGCCUUUAAAAUAGAUUAAUGUGUAUGACAUGAUCUUCUUUAAUUAAUAAAGAAAUGCACUUGUUGACAACUUGCUGUGGUAUAAGGGGAAUAAAACACUUCAGAAUGUGCAGUUCUACCUUGGGGUGGUAACGGUCACUCCACUUCAUUGGAUCGUUGACUACUUUCCUAUAACCGCAUGUUUAUUCCUUACAUAAAUUAAACACAAAGCAUGUAGGGGUUCUACAUGCAUGUAAUAUUUGCACAAUCAAUAACCUAUUAGAGUAAUACCUUGUGGUAUAUAAACUGAACUUUGUGUUUGAUGUGUCUAGUGUCCAAAGCCUGUGGUGGUGGCAGUGCAUGGCGUGUGUGGGGGAGCAGGUCUGUUGGGAGUGUUAAGUACCAUCAUCUCAUACACUCAGCAAACAAUAUGGAUGGAACUUUCCAGAAUUGUGGUGUCACUUUCCUGCAAAGCUUUAACCAUCAGAGAGUUAUCUUUUACUGGGGCUUUUAGCUGCAGGAGACUGAAUUACUAACAGUUUUUUUUGUGGAUCUGAUUUCUUCUUUCGCAGGAGUGGAUCUAAUGACAGCCUGUGAUAUUCGUCUGUGCACACAGGAUGCCUGGUUUCAGGUGAAGUCGUGUGUUCCCUGAUGGUCAAUGAUUGCUGGAGCUCUGGAAAUAGCAGGUGAGAUUGCAGGCCGGAGUCCCGUCGCUGUCCAGGGAACCAAAAUCAACCUCCUCUACUCCUGAGACCACAGUGUGACUGAGAGCCUAGACUACAUGGCUACUUGGAACAUGAACAUGUUGCAGACACAGGAUCUUAUGAAGUCAGCGCAGGCAGCCCUGGAAAAGAAGAGUCCGAAAGACGUGCCCUUCUCCAAGCUUUAAAGGAGAAGAUCCAGGGCUGUUGAAGCUGCGGUGGAACUGAGACUUCAUCAUCCACAGAUCUUUAGUUCUUCUUGCUAAGUCUCAGUUUCUUUUUAGUCUUUUUAUUUUUAGACUGGUCAAAAGACUGAUUAGUGGAAGUGAAAUGAUAGAUGAACUUUUAAUUACUUGCUUUAUUAUUUGCAGGUGCCUUGUACAGUAAGACAGGGUAACUAAUACUCAAAAGCUUGUUUUGUGUGUUAACAUGUACAGUAGAUGUACAUAUUUUUUCUGGUGCUGUGUGACUGCAGAAUGUAGUGCAGUUAGCACAUUAAAUUUCCUUGGAUGCUCACUUUUAACUCGAGGAGGUCACAGUUUGCCCAGACAUCUUUUUUUAAAUCCGUCAAUCCGUCACCCACACGUCAUUCUGGGGGACGAAGAGGAGGAAGCUGGACAGAUAAAUUUAUUUAUUUAUUUAUCAUUGCUGUGUUUCCUCAAUCGAGUGCAGAAAGAAGAAAAACAACACAACUGAUUUAAAAUAAAAAUAUAGAAAACAAUCUAAUGUAAGGUUGUGAUCCGGUUUGCUUUCAGCAGGAAGGCUGUCCUGUUUCCUGUUGCUCUUUCCCUUCUAUUAGUCCAUUUGUCCAGUCUGAAUCGGUUUGAUUCGUUUCGAGACGAUUCGGAGUCAAAUAAUUUUCUAGUGAGAGUCGCACACUUCCAAACGAACUAGACUGAGAUGAGUAUUUGAUUCUCACUAGAAAGUGAUUCGACUCUGAAUCAACUCGAAAUGAAUCAGUCAAACUGAUUCAGACUCUAUAAAAGGACUAUGAGAUGUGAUUAAGAUAUAUAGUCCAAUGUUUUGCUUUACAAUUCCACUGUGUGUGUGUGUGUGUGUGUGUGUGUGUGUGUGUGUGUGCGCGCGCGCGCGUGCGCACGUGUGUUUUUCAGGAGAACGAGAAACUCUGACACAACAGUACAUCCUGACCAUUGGUACUGUGUACACAUCAACAUACACGCACGUCUCCAUGCUGGACAUCUCAGGAGCUUUCACACACAGUGCUAGGAAUAUCCCGGGACAGAGAAACGCACCUUCUAAGUGAGCGAGUUUAGCGUCAACCGGUGAAAUUUGCUGUAGCAUGAACACUUCGCCUCUGUGAGCUUCACUCUCCGUCAGGUUCACUGUAAUUAGACAUAAAAGUACAUAAUGUUUAUUUUUCAUACAUUUAGGAUUUAAUGGUUUUUUUUUUUUACUCUUCGAGGAGCAGAAAUGAUCUUUUGAGGCAGCUUCAUCACUACCUGCUCCGUUUGACUCAAAAAUGUAACGACCGGUUUCAAAAAGUCACGAUGUCUUCAGUUCAUGUGAUUUUACUGUUGAAUUUAAACAGGAAAUGUGAAAUAUUUUUUUCCUUUGUUUCCUCUACUGUCUUUUUGCUGUGAUCUUGAACACAGUUGUAUUUUUUUUUAAAUAAUAAAUAAAUGAUCAUUCUAUUCUUUCUCACUUUCCUUGUCCUAAUUGUCCUGUAUCUGUUAAAUCCGUUUCAUCUGUGGUCUUUCUGUCUGUAUUAACACUUGUAGAAAUGACUUGUAGUCCAUAUUUUUAAAUGAUUUUAUUCAUAAUUUUGAAUUUAAAUAAAGAUAUUCUUUAAUUCUGUAUUUUGUCAUUUAAUUAUCAUUAGAAAUCAGAAGAUCAGAUUAAAGCCACGGCUUCUUUACCUGCCGAAGCUGUAAAACUUUCAAUAAACCAGUCAAUAGAUCAACUGCAUAAAUGUAGAUUUUUAUUUACUGAUUAGAUGUAUUGAUGGUGUUGAUAGAUUAUUUGAAGAUUUUUAUUGAUCUUGGACAGAAUCAUUCAGAUAAAUAUUUUUUUAAAAAAAUUGAUAAAUAGUUGAUUAAAUAAAUGUAGUGUAAUGUACUGAGUCAAAUAUGAAAACUACAAAUAAAUAAAAUAUAUUUAUAUCUGUGUAUAAUUAAAAACCUCACUUAAUACAAGAAAUUCAUAUCCUAAAUGUUGCAAGUGAUUAAUCUGAUCAUUUUAUUCAGCUGUUUAAUUAUUACUUUCUAAAUAAUAAACAAAUGAAUGUUCUGGAUUCAUGAGGAAUGUUUACAUUUUGUGUCCAAACUCAAAAGUUUAAACAAAGUGUAUAUUUAUGAUGAUAAAGCACAAAGAACGUGAAACCUCAACACGUCUACAAUCAUCGAUGAAUUAAAUAUUAAUUAAAAAAAUUAAAUUAAACAAGAGUAAGAUGAAAUAUAUUUUUAAUUAAAAUGUAAUUAGAAAGGAGCACUUUUAAAGUGGAUUUGAUUUAAAAUAAUGAUAAAGCUGUUUUUUUAUGUAUUUGUAUAUCUUAUCCUCUAUCGUGUUUAAGAAGAGGAGAAUAAUGAAGCUUUUUAUGAAAUAAUAUUUGGGUUUAUUUUAUUUUAUUUUCUCCUCACAGAUUCAAAUU